rnacentral:rRNA from 1 species
AGCUCCAAUAGCGUAUAUUAAAGUUGUUGCAGUUAAAAAGCUCGUAGUUGGACCUAUGCGCAUUGACUAGUGGUCUGUCGCAAGACAGCACUGCUUACUCAAGCGCACAAUGUUGGGGAACUGUCUUUGACAGGGAACCAAGUGUUACUUUGAAGAAAUUAGAGUGUUUAAAGCAGGCGUUUGCUUGAAUACAUUAGCAUGGAAUAAUGAGAUAUGACUGCGGUCUUAUUUCGUUGGUUUGAGGGCCACAGUAAUGAUUAAUAGGGACAGUUGGGGGCAUUUGUAUUCAGUAGUCAGAGGUGAAAUUCUUGGAUUUACUGAAGACAAACUAAUGCGAAAGCAUUUGCCAAGGAUGUUUUCA